rnacentral:rRNA from 1 species
UACGGAGGGUGCGAGCGUUGUCCGGAAUCACUGGGCGUAAAGGGCGCGUAGGUGGCCCGUCAAGCGCGCGGUGAAAGCCCGGGGCUCAACCCCGGGUCGGCCGUGCGGACUGGCGGGCUCGAGCACUGUAGGGGCGGGUGGAAUUCCGGGUGUAGCGGUGGAAUGCGUAGAGAUCCGGAAGAACACCGGUGGCGAAGGCGAAUCUCUGGACAGUUACUGACACUGAGGCACGAAGGCCAGGGGAGCAAACGGG